rnacentral:sRNA from 12 species
UAGGCCUUGCGUUGCUUCUUUAUGAGAAGUAAUGGAAGUGCUUGGGCUACACGUCCUUUCGCUACGACAAACUAAUAUCUGUUUGUCAUAAAAUUCAAUCACGACACCUAAUGCGUGAAGUGGUGGUGCAUUCAACUAGGCGAGAGGGCUACUGAGG